rnacentral:rRNA from 1 species
CCCUUAGAUGUCCUGGGCCGCACGCGCGCUACACUGAGUGUCUGAGAUACGAGUCUGCCUGGUCCGGCAAGGUCUAGGUAAUCGCUAAAAGACACAUCAUGCUUGGGAUAGAUUAUUGCAAAUAUUAAUCUUGAACGAGGAAUUCCUAGUAAGCGCAAGUCAACAGCUUGCGUUGAUUACGUCCCUGCCCUUUGUACACACCGCCCGUCGCUACUACUGAUUGGAUGUUUAAGCGAGGUUCUCGAACUGCUAGCGACUUAGCUUCGGUGAGGUCGCAGUGUGGGAAGUGAACCUAGCUUUGGUGUCUAGAGGAAGUAAAAGGCGGAACA